UAAAGACAAGGUCAGACAGAGGUGUUCA
rnacentral:piRNA from 1 species